rnacentral:rRNA from 1 species
AACGAACGCCGGCGGCAGGCUUAACACAUGCAAGUCGAGCGCCCCGCAAGGGGAGCGGCAGACGGGUGAGUAACGCGUGGGAAUCUACCCAUCUCUACGGAAUAACGCAUGGAAACGUGUGCUAAUACCGUAUACGUCCUUCGGGAGAAAGAUUUAUCGGAGAUGGAUGAGCCCGCGUUGGAUUAGCUAGUUGGUGGGGUAAAGGCCUACCAAGGCGACGAUCCAUAGCUGGUCUGAGAGGAUGAUCAGCCACACUGGGACUGAGACACGGCCCAGCCUCCUACGGGAGGCAGCAGUGGGGAAUAUUGGACAAUGGGCGCAAGCCUGAUCCAGCCAUGCCGCGUGAGUGAUGAAGGCCCUAGGGUUGUAAAGCUCUUUCACCGGUGAAGAUAAUGACGGUAACCGGAGAAGAAGCCCCGGCUAACUUCGUGCCAGCAGCCGCCGUAAUAC